UACACAUGCAGUCGAGCGGAACGAUCCUAGCUUGCUAGGAGGCGUCGAGCGGCGGACGGGUGAGUAAUGCAUAGGAAUCUGCCCGGUAGUGGGGGAUAACUUGAGGAAACUCAAGCUAAUACCGCAUACGCCCUACGGGGGAAAGCAGGGGCUCUUCGGACCUUGCGCUAUCGGAUGAGCUUAUGUCGGAUUAGCUGGUUGGUGAGGUAACGGCUCACCAAGGCGACGAUCCGUAGCUGGUCUGAGAGGAUGAUCAGCCACAUCGGGACUGAGACACGGCCCGAACUCCUACGGGAGGCAGCAGUGGGGAAUAUUGGACAAUGGGGGCAACCCUGAUCCAGCCAUGCCGCGUGUGUGAAGAAGGCCCUCGGGUUGUAAAGCACUUUCAGCGAGGAAGAAUGCUUGUCGGUUAAUACCCGGCAAGGGAGACAUCACUCGCAGAAGAAGCACCGGCUAACUCCGUGCCAGCAGCCGCGGUAAUACGGAGGGUGCGAGCGUUAAUCGGAAUUACUGGGCGUAAAGCGUGCGUAGGCGGCUUGAUAAGCCGGUUGUGAAAGCCCCGGGCUCAACCUGGGAACGGCAUCCGGAACUGUUAGGCUAGAGUGCAGGAGAGGAAGGUAGAAUUCCCGGUGUAGCGGUGAAAUGCGUAGAGAUCGGGAGGAAUACCAGUGGCGAAGGCGGCCUUCUGGACUGACACUGACGCUGAGGUACGAAAGCGUGGGUAGCAAACAGGAUUAGAUACCCUGGUAGUCCACGCCGUAAACGAUGUCGACUAGCCGUUGGGGGUCCUCGAGACCUUUGUGGCGCAGUUAACGCACUAAGUCGACCGCCUGGGGAGUACGGCCGCAAGGUUAAAACUCAAAUGAAUUGACGGGGGCCCGCACAAGCGGUGGAGCAUGUGGUUUAAUUCGAUGCAACGCGAGAACCUUACCUAC
rnacentral:rRNA from 2 species